CAGUUUGGACCAGAAUUUUUGGUGAGUCACAACCAAUUUUAUGUCCUUUUUUUGCUACAGAUAAAUGAAUUGCUGCGGCUGUUAAGUGAAUCAGGUGGUCACUAAGUGAAUCCAGCUCUUCCCCCCCACCACCAUUGACUUUGUUGUUAGAAUCCUGCUGGGAAAGUUGCGAAUGGCUACCACACCAAUCCUGGGGACACUGCAAUCGUUGUAAAUACACGCCACUUGCCAAGCACACAAUUUUGAUGGCUUGACUACGACAGUCAUACGUAUGAGAACCGGUUCAUGGCAAGCCACCCUGAGUCAUCUCGUGGUGAAAUGGAUGGCAAACAAUUUUAAUAAUAAAUAAACAAGCUCUACUGUGAUUUUAUGGCCGCUAGGAUGGCAUCCUAGGAAGCAGGUGAUUCCGCAGAUUGUUCCCUUGGAAAUCAGAAGAAGUAAUGCCAAUUUCCGAAGAGGAUUUUCCUGUCCUGUUGCUCUUCUAAUGGCUGAGGCUGCUUUUUUUUUUUUUUACACCACCCCAAAAAGCUGAUGUGGGAAAGACCCAGAGGCAGAAAUUGGGAAGGGGGAAUGCUAAUAGAGCUGUAGAUCUUCGUCUAAAUGGUCCCCUGUACUCUGCCAUGACCUUCAAGCUGGGACAAAAUGAAACCACUUCUGAAACCGAUAUACGUUAUUUCCUUGUUUACAAGAGGAAGGUAACCAAAAAUGGCAGUAAUAAUAAUCGUAGAAGUUCUGUUCCUCUGCUCCCUUCAGCUCUAUAAAGCCCAGCAUGGCACUGAGUGUGAUGAAAACUGAUAAGCUGCAAUCUUCUGGUCACUUAUUAUAGAGCAAGUCAGGUUUUAUGUUUGAAUAGGCAUACCUAGUAUGUUUCAUUCAUUUAUUUGAAUCUAGUGGGAUGAGACAUCUCCUGUUUUAUUUACCUAAAUGAUAUGGUUCUCUUGGGAGAGCACUAAGAAAUUUAUCUUUUCAGGCAGAGUUCACAAGGACACAGAUCACUAAAGUCCAAACUAUGCACUGCUUGCCUCCCUGGAAUAUAACUGGGGAGAUUUCCAUCCUUUAGGAAAUGAACAUCUAAGCAUUAGACUAACAUGGAGGACCAUCAUCAAGAAGCCCUUUGAUGGCCAGCAGAGAUUGCCUGCAGUGUCUAAUACAAAUAAAUGAAUUUGGAUCUGAGGGAGUCCCCAGAAAAUAAAACCAAAAAAAUCUGUUAAUUAAUACAAAGUGACAAUCACACCAACCCAUUUUAGUGAAGUCCUGAAUUCAGAUAUAGCUCAUGUUUACAUGGGUGGUGGUGUGGUGGUGGUGUAAAAUGGCUUCUGCAAUAGAAUUCAGCCUGCCUUGGCUAAUGUAUCCCUUCUAUCUUUCAAGUUCACUAAAACCUUGAUAUAUUUGCCUAGAGAUUUCCCAGGAGAUAUUGGCAUUUGCCUCAUACAAUAUGAUCAGUUAUAUAGUCCAAACAGUCUAAGCAAACCAAUUUUGAUUCAUCUAAAUACGUUAAAGACGGUCUCUGUGAGGAGGGGAUCAAUUUAUUUUCCAAAGCACCAGAAAGCAAGACAAAAAAUAAUGGAUGGAAACUAGUCAAGGGGAGAAGCAACCUGGAAUUAAGGAGAGACUU